UGAGGGGCAGGAGGGAUCCCAGGUAUUUCUGUGAAGGGAAGAGAGAGGGCCAGGCCACCAGCUGGCUGUGUCUGCUUUGUUGAGGGGUGGGAGCGGGGGUGGUGGUUCCCUGGCCUGGGAGCAGGACUGCAGUGAGUAUGCUGGAGCUCUGACCACCUGCAGUUAAGCCCGCUGAAGGCGGGCGUAUGGUGAGUGGGUCUGCCAGCAGACAGAGCUUCGACCUUUUCAUUUUCUCUCUGGUUAGACUGACUUCAAAGACUUUAUCUGACUUUGGAAGACUCCCGAGGAGUCUUAGCAGGCCCAGCCAGUGGGUACAGGCUUGAAGACCAACAGGAUGGGCUGGCAGAGAGGACAGCAUCAGCCUCUCAGUCCAGGCAUCCCAGCCAGGACCACCCCAACCAUCACCAGGAGGAUGGAACCAGUCCCUAGCCCUUGUGAGCAGCUCUCCCUUUUCUGCACCAUCUCAAGGGAAAUCUGAAGACGAGCUACCAGCAUGAGAUGUCCUGGUGUUAGGAAACACAGUUAAACAAAAGUGUGAUGCUGCUGUGGGAAGGCCAGACCCAGGACACCACCAUGCCAUGCUGUCUUCAGUUUCUGCUGGCUGAAGCUUUAUUCCCAGAUGGAGUCUCGCUCAGGCUGGAGUACAGUGGUGCGAUCUCGGCUCACUCCAACCUCCGCCUCCUGGGUCCUGGUUCAAGCAAUUUUCCUACCUCAGCCUCCCAAGUAGCUGGGAUUAUGGACAUGAGCCACCACACUCAGCUAAUUUUUUGUAUUUUUAGUAGAGACAGGGUUUUACCAUGUUGGCCAGUCUGGUCUUGAACUCCUGACCUUGUGAUCCACCCACCUCAGCCUCCCAAAGUGCUGGGAUUACAGGCGUGAGCCACUGCACCCGGCCUGCCUUAUCUUUCUUAAAAGAAACUCACAACAUCUGACGUAUGCCAACUUGUUUAUUUAUAUUAUCCAGAACAUGAACUCUCCAAGGCAAGGGUUUUGCUUCACUACUGAUUCCCAAGUGCCAGGAAAUGUACCCAGCACAUGCUGAGCCCUCAAUCAAUAUUUGUUGUGGUGUGACUUUUAAAACAUCAGUCUCAAUGCUUAUUAGCACAGACUUGGUCUCAUGGAAGCACUUUGUGUUUUUCU
rnacentral:lncRNA from 1 species